GAGUUUGAUCUUGGCUCAGAGUGAACGCUGGCGGUAGGCCUAACACAUGCAAGUCGAACGGCAGCACAGUAAGAGCUUGCUCUUAUGGGUGGCGAGUGGCGGACGGGUGAGGAAUACAUCGGAAUCUACUUUUUCGUGGGGGAUAACGUGGGGAAACUUACGCUAAUACCGCAUACGACCUACGGGUGAAAGCAGGGGAUCUUCGGACCUUGCGCGAUUGAAUGAGCCGAUGUCGGAUUAGCUAGUUGGCGGGGUAAAGGCCCACCAAGGCGACGAUCCGUAGCUGGUCUGAGAGGAUGAUCAGCCACACUGGAACUGAGACACGGUCCAGACUCCUACGGGAGGCAGCAGUGGGGAAUAUUGGACAAUGGGCGCAAGCCUGAUCCAGCCAUACCGCGUGGGUGAGAAGGCCU
rnacentral:rRNA from 1 species